ACCUCUUGCACCGUGCGGAUAGAAGGAUUCGUGUAGUCCGACAAUGCUGCAAUCCGCCAUCUUAAUAAAACCACACCCUUUUUUUACACGGGCUCUUAUGGAAGUAUUUUUUCAAAGUGCUUUUUCUCUUAGCUGGAUAACAACUUCGACCAAAGAAAAAUAAAGAAAAAUACUACAUCAUUCAGGGCAUAUGGGCAUUGUUUACAUAUGUAGGACCCAAACAUAUUGUCAUUUGUGACGAGGUAUUGGUGGAAAAUGCUGUAAUCCAUCUAUUCGACCUCUAAAGAAGAACUGAUGGUGUUUUUUAAAGCAUUCUUCUAUGGCAUUCCAAGUUGUAUAUGUAUUGUUUGGAUAGUUUAUUCAUACAUAGAUUUUUUUGGUGUUUCAAAUGA